rnacentral:rRNA from 1 species
ACGUAGGUGGCGAGCGUUAUCCGGAAUCAUUGGGCGUAAAGAGGGAGCAGGCGGCCGCAAGGGUCUGUGGUGAAAGACCGAAGCUAAACUUCGGUAAGCCAUGGAAACCGGGCGGCUAGAGUGCGGAAGAGGAUCGUGGAAUUCCAUGUGUAGCGGUGAAAUGCGUAGAUAUAUGGAGGAACACCAGUGGCGAAGGCGACGGUCUGGGCCGCAACUGACGCUCAUUCCCGAAAGCGUGGGGAGCAAAUAG